GCAGCCCUACCAGCUCCAGCCGCUGGUGGGGUUUGGCUUUUCAGGGCAGUUUCAAGGGAACUGUGUCAUGUUGAGAAGGGACCAGCAUGAUCGCGACCCCCUGGUAGGUAAUCACCGAGACCAACGAAAGGAAAUCAUUUCAACAGAGCUUCAGGCUUGGCCCAACCACCCACUUUGUGUGCAGAAGGGAGCGAUCCAGCCUGAUUGUAUUUAGACUCAUCUCGUAGACACAUCUCUGGGCUUGUCUGCAAGUGUACUUCCAGGGAGAUUUAACUGAGCAAAACACAUCCCGAAUGUACGUGGCACCAUCACAUGGCCUAGAAUCUCAGAUAGAAUCUCAGGAGGAAGACUUUGUUCCAGGCAGCAUGUCCCAGUUGGUGUGAGGUAUGCACGCAUGGACAGCGGAGGAAAUGGGGUCUAGCCAAGAAGCAGCCUGCGGAGGAAAUCUGAGCAGUAUAAAAAGGCAGAGACCUUGAUGUGAAGCAAGACUGAACCUCUUGAGUAUCCUUGCUCGUCCCACACAGCUGUUGGACCGUUGCAACCUUUAUGUUAAAAUGAGUUAACUAGCCUCUAUAUCACAGGAUUUCCCCUGCCUCCUUUGGCUUUUCAAGACAGGGUUUCUCUGUGUAACAUCCUUAACUGUGCUAGAACUAGCUCUUGUAGGCCAGGCUGGUUUUGAACUCACAGAGAUCCGCCUCUCUCUCUGCCUCUCUGGUGCUGAGAUUAAAGGAGUGCACCACCACCGCCCGCUCUAUAUCACAGGACUUUAAAACCUGAGAAGAUGUAUAGAAAGUGCUUUGCAAGGCUCCUGGUUGAUGUCAAGACAUGGAUCCUUCUAGACCGGAAAGAACAGUGGGUUAAGGAGCCUGCCAGGGACUUUAAGGGACUUCUAGAUCAAGCGAGGACAGGGGAGGAAGGAGGCUAUUGAAACAAUGGCGAAGUGUUUCCUCCCUGGGCACCGGCCACAAUGCUCACGGGUCAAGGGGAGGUUGGACCUCACGUAGGCCGCGAGCGGGGUACCCCCGAAUGAGAGAAGGAGCCCUGAGACCCUGGGCCACCACGUGGCCGCCCAGCCUUCCCCCAACCUCUUCUCUCCGCCAGGCUGAAGUAGGUGAAGGGUGGAAGCCCGGAGACCGCACCGCGGAGGCGGACGCCCGCUGCCGGUCUCCUAGCAAC